AAGUUGUAUGUAAGAAUUGGAUGGAACUAAACAGAUUAGUAAGAUCAAAAUAUUCAGUUGCUGUUUAGUUUCCUCCAAUAUCUUAUCUCCAGCUU
rfam:Citrus sinensis cultivar Ridge Pineapple sweet orange scaffold00015_contig_124, whole genome shotgun sequence.